rnacentral:rRNA from 1 species
GACGAACGCUGGCGGCGUGCUUAACACAUGCAAGUCGAACGAUGAACUUGGAGCUUGCUCUGGGGGAUUAGUGGCGAACGGGUGAGUAACACGUGAGUAACCUGCCUUGGACUCUGGGAUAACUUCGAGAAAUCGGAGCUAAUACCGGAUAGGACCUUGCACCGCAUGGUGUGGGGUGGAAAGGUUUUCGGUUUGGGAUGGACUCGCGGCCUAUCAGCUUGUUGGUGAGGUAAUGGCUCACCAAGGCGUCGACGGGUAGCCGGCCUGAGAGGGUGACCGGCCACACUGGGACUGAGACACGGCCCAGACUCCUACGGGAGGCAGCAGUGGGGAAUAUUGCACAAUGGGCGCAAGCCUGAUGCAGCAACGCCGCGUGCGGGAUGACGGCCUUCGGGUUGUAAACCGCUUUUAGUAGGGAAGAAGCCUUCGGGUGACGGUACCUGCAGAAAAAGGACCGGCUAACUACGUGCCAGCAGCCGCAGUAAGAC